UGGGGAAUAUUGGGCAAUGGGCGAAAGCCUGACCCAGCCAUGCCGCGUGAGUGAUGAAGGCCUUAGGGUUGUAAAACUCUUUCGCUGGGGAAGAUAAUGACAGUACCUGGAGAAUAAGCUCCGGCUAACUCCGUGCCAGCAGCCGCGGUAAUACGGAGGGAGCUAGCGUUGUUCGGAAUUACUGGGCGUAAAGCGCGCGUAGGCGGCUAUUCAAGUCAGGGGUGAAAUCCCGGGGCUCAACCCCGGAACUGCCCUUGAAACUAGGUAGCUAGAAUACUGGAGAGGUGAGUGGAAUUCCGAGUGUAGAGGUGAAAUUCGUAGAUAUUCGGAAGAACACCAGUGGCGAAGGCGACUCACUGGACAGUUAUUGACGCUGAGGUGCGAAAGCGUGGGGAGCAAACAGGAUUAGAUACCCCGGUAGUCC
rnacentral:rRNA from 1 species